CAGCCGCCACGGUAAUACGUAGGGUGCAAGCGUUAAUCGGAAUUACUGGGCGUAAAGCGUGCGUAGGCGGUUUGUUAAGUCUGUUGUGAAAUCCCCGGGCUCAACCUGGGAAUGGCAAUGGAUACUGGCAAGCUAGAGUGUGUCAGAGGAUGGUGGAAUUCCCGGUGUAGCAGUGAAAUGCGUAGAGAUCGGGAGGAACAUCAGUGGCGAAGGCGGCCAUCUGGGACAACACUGACGCUGAGGCACGAAAGCGUGGGGAGCAAACAGGAUUAGAUACCCCCGUAGUCCCUGUCUCUUAUAC
rnacentral:rRNA from 1 species